rnacentral:lncRNA from 1 species
UCCCUCUACAAGUUAUGACAAAUAAACUAGAAUAUUUUAGCUAAGGAAAUAUCUCUUUGUAUUAUGAACUAAAGAUCGCCAGUCUUUGGUUUCAGAUCGACAAGAUGUUGAUCCAAUCCUUGGAAUGAGUCAGACACACCUCACUAGGAACAAUAACUUAGGCACUAUGACUCGGUCCAGCCAUCAGUGAAGAGAUUGUGCAAAUGAUCUAC